rnacentral:rRNA from 1 species
GACGAACGCUGGCGGCGUGCUUAACACAUGCAAGUCGAACGGAAAGGCCCUGCUUUUGUGGGGUGCUCGAGUGGCGAACGGGUGAGUAACACGUGAGUAACCUGCCCUUGACGUUGGGAUAACUUCAGGAAACUGGGGCUAAUACCGGAUAGGAGCUCCUGCUGCAUGGUGGGGGUUGGAAAGUUUCGGCGGUUGGGGAUGGACUCGCGGCUUAGCAGCUUGUUGGUGGGGUAGUGGCUUACCAAGGCUUUGACGGGUAGCCGGCCUGAGAGGGUGACCGGCCACAUUGGGACUGAGAUACGGCCCAGACUCCUACGGGAGGCAGCAGUGGGGAAUAUUGCACAAUGGGCGGAAGCCUGAUGCAGCAACGCCGCGUGCGGGAUGACGGCCUUCGUGUUGUAAACCGCUUUCGCCUGUGACGAAGCGUGAGUGACGGUAAUGGGUAAAGAAGCACCGGCUAACUACGUG